AUUUUAUGUUAGUGUACACAAUGCAGUGCUGUUUCUUUAUUUGCAAAAAAAAAAUAAAGUUUAGUCUUCAGUGCUGCUCUCUAGUGUUUGAAAGUUAUCAAAACAUCUAAGGUGACAAUAUAAGCCUUAUUGCAUUUUAAAUCUAUUAAAUGAAAAAAAUAU